UGCUUGCAUCAUGAUUUACAUUUGAGUGAGUGGCGAACUGGUGAGUAACACGUGGGAAACCUGCCCAGAAGCGGGGGAUAACACCUGGAAACAGAUGCUAAUACCGCAUAACAACUUGGACCGCAUGGUCCGAGCUUGAAAGAUGGCUUCGGCUAUCACUUUUGGAUGGUCCCGCGGCGUAUUAGCUAGAUGGUGGGGUAACGGCUCACCAUGGCAAUGAUACGUAGCCGACCUGAGAGGGUAAUC
rnacentral:rRNA from 1 species